rnacentral:lncRNA from 1 species
CUCUUGUCUCCAGGUAAGCCUCACUGUAUUUCGCUUGUAGUAUACUUCGCUCAAUACAUCUUGUCUCCAGUCCUGACCGUCGAGCUUUGCUCCGCUCUCACUGCACAAGUGCUCGUCGGCGCUCCUGCUCGUCUCGUGCGUACCCCUGAUCCUUACUCGACGAUCAGUCGUAACAUUAGGUCGAAACUUCCUCACGAGCACCAGCGCA